ACCCUGUGGAGAUGAGAGGCUUU
rnacentral:piRNA from 1 species